rnacentral:lncRNA from 1 species
GGGCGGUGGGCAUGGAACGGGAUGCACAGGGCUGUGGGCACGGCCCCAGUGCUGGAGUUCAAGGAGCAUCUGGACAGCGCUCUCAGACAUAGGGUUGGGUUUGGGUGGUGCUGUGUGGAGCCAGGGGUUGGACUCAGUGAUCCUUGUGGGUCCCUUCCAACUCGGGAUACCUUCUGUGGGUCUGUGAUAACAAUACACGUGAUACAAUACAUAUGAGAAAUAGUACUAACAGGACAGCUUUCCUACCACUGAGGUAUUCAGAGCAGAUUUUGUACUUAAGAAUGCUGAGUAAGAGCAAAAACCAGUCCGGAGAGCACAAGCCUGAGGAUAUGGAGAUGGACAUUUCCCUAAUGAGUACAGCAGGAUUGCUGUGCUUCCUCACCACCCUACACCCAAACUGCACCUCUCUGCUCCAUACUAUACAGUGACAGAGCCUCAGCACGCUACCACGGUCACACCUCGUCCCUGUGGCCCUGGCUCGGCGCGCAUGGAGCCCAAUCUCCACACGGACCGUUCCGAAUCUCCACACGGACCGUUCCGAACCCCCACCGCCUCCACCCCGAAACGCCCGUGACGCUCUGCCAACGGGCAGCAGCGAGAACCAAUGGGCGAGUCCCGCCGCGCUGGCGUCAGCCAAUAGGAAAGCGAGCGGUGGGCGUGGCUCGGCGGAGAGCGUUGCGGCCGUUGCGAACGAUGAGGGAACGUAGUGCGCUCUCCAGCGCCUCCCCCGCUCCUUUCCUCCUCAGGGAGCAAGGGCCGCCGGAUCCUUACCUGCGGCGGACAUGGAGGCGGAAAACGGGCCCCCGAUCGGCCCGGGGUGGGCGGUGGAGCGAGCCGGAUCUCCGACACGGGCAGGAGCAGCCGCCCCAUGUUUCACCACACAGUGCCUGGGUAGCUUCACACACCUUCAGAAUCACAGAAUUGUAGGGGUUGGGAGGGACCUCUAGAGAUCAUCGAGUCCAACCCCCCUGCCAAAGCAGGCUCCCUACACCACGUCACACAGGUAGGUGUCCAGGCGGGUCUUGAGUAUCUCCAGAGAAGGAGACUCCACCACCUCCCUGGGCAGCCUUGUUGCCUCACGUGUUGCCUUGGUUCUUCAAAAACUGCUUGUUGGAAGGGAGAAAUCCAGUUGCAAAUGGUUUAAACAGCUGCAAAAGGCGGUACUCGCUUUACAUGAGGUUUUCUGACUUUAUGAAGUGUGGUAGCAGGGCUCCUCUCCUUACAGAAAUGCUUUGGGAAGGGCAGAACGUACAAAUUUCAGCCUCA